CAGUAGCCACGGUAAUACGGAGGGUGCAAGCGUUAAUCGGAAUUACUGGGCGUAAAGCGCACGCAGGCGGUCUGUCAAGUCGGAUGUGAAAUCCCCGGGCUCAACCUGGGAACUGCAUUCGAAACUGGCAGGCUAGAGUCUUGUAGAGGGGGGUAGAAUUCCAGGUGUAGCGGUGAAAUGCGUAGAGAUCUGGAGGAAUACCGGUGGCGAAGGCGGCCCCCUGGACAAAGACUGACGCUCAGGUGCGAAAGCGUGGGGAGCAAACAGGAUUAGAUACCCCAGUAGUCCCUGUCUCUUAUAC
rnacentral:rRNA from 1 species